UUGAUUCGCACAAUUGGUCAUC
rnacentral:siRNA from 1 species